UAGCCUAGUGGUUAAGGCUAUGGAUCGCCAAUCCGAAAACGGCGGGUUUGAUUCCCGU
rnacentral:tRNA from 1 species